GACGAACGCUGGCGGCGUGCCUAAUACAUGCAAGUUGAGCGCUGAAGGUUGGUACUUGUACCAACUGGAUGAGCAGCGAACGGGGGAGUAACGCGUGGGGAAUCUGCCUUUGAGCGGGGGACAACAUUUGGAAACGAAUGCUAAUACCGCAUAAAAACUUUAAACACAAGUUUUAAGUUUGAAAGAUGCAAUUGCAUCACUCAAAGAUGAUCCCGCGUUGUAUUAGCUAGUUGGUGAGGUAAAGGCUCACCAAGGCGAUGAUACAUAGCCGACCUGAGAGGGUGAUCGGCCACAUUGGGACUGAGAAACGGCCCAAACCUCUACGGGAGGCAGCAGUAGGGAAUCUUCGGCAAUGGACGAAAGUCUGACCGAGCAACGCCGCGGGAGUGAAGAAGGGUUUCGGAUCGUAAAACUCUGUUGGUAGAGAAGAACGUUCGUGAGAGUGGAAAGCUCAUCAAGUGACGGUAACUACACAGAAAGGGACGGCUAACUACGUG
rnacentral:rRNA from 1 species